GUGAGGAAUAUUGCGCAAUGGAGGCAACUCUGACGCAGCCAUGCCGCGUGCAGGAAGAAGGCGCUACGCGUUGUAAACUGCUUUUAACCGGGAAGAAACCCCAGGACGUGUCCUGGGUUGACGGUACCAGAGGAAUAAGCACCGGCUAACUUCGUGCCAGCAGCCGCGGUAAUACGAAGGGUGCAAGCGUUAUCCGGAUUCAUUGGGUUUAAAGGGUGCGUAGGCGGAGCGUUAAGUCAGUGGUGAAAUCCUGCAGCUUAACUGUAGACUUGCCAUUGAUACUGGCGCUCUUGAGUGCGCUUGAAGUGGGCGGAAUGUGCCGUGUAGCGGUGAAAUGCUUAGAUAUGGCACAGAACACCUAUUGCGAAGGCAGCUCACUAAGGCGAUACUGACGCUGAGGCACGAAAGCGUGGGGAUCGAACAGGAUUAGAAACCCCUGUAGUCC
rnacentral:rRNA from 1 species